rnacentral:snRNA from 1 species
AUACUUUGGUUUCUCUUCAGAUUGUAUAAAUCUUUCAUCUUUACUAAAGAUUUCUGUGGACAGGAACAUGUACCAGUCUCUGUACCAG